GAAUUCGCCCUUAGAGUUUGAUCCUGGCUCAGGAUGAAUUCUGGCGGCAUGCCUAACACAUGCAAGUCGAACGGGGUUUAUAUAACAGAACUCUCCGGAGGGAAGAUAUAUAAACCUAGUGGCGGACGGGUGAGUAACGCGUGGGCAACCUGCCCUGUACCGGGGGACAACAGCCAGAAAUGGCUGCUAAUACCGCAUAAGCCUGCUGUGCCGCAUGGCACAGCAGGGAAAACCACGGUGGUACAGGAUGGGCCCGCGUCUGAUUAGUUAGUUGGCAGGGUAACGGCCUACCAAGACAACGAUCAGUAGCCGGCUUGAGAGAGUGGACGGCCACAUUGGGACUGAGACACGGCCCAGACUCCUGCGGGAGGCAGCAGUGGGGAAUAUUGCACAAUGGGGGGAACCCUGAUGCAGCGACGCCGCGUGAGUGAAGAAGUAUUUCGGUAUGUAAAGCUCUGUCAGCAGGGAAGAAGAAAGACGGUACCUGACCAAGAAGCCCCGGCUAACUACGUGCCAGCAGCCGCGGUAAUACGUAGGGGGCAAGCGUUAUCCGGAUUUACUGGGUGUAAAGGGAGCGUAGACGGCAGGGCAAGUCUGGAGUGAAAGGCAGGGGCCCAACCCCUGGACUGCUCUGGAAACUGUCCGGCUGGAGUGAAGUAGAGGCAGGUGGAAUUCCCGGUGUAGCGGUGAAAUGCGUAGAGAUCGGGAGGAACACCAGUGGCGAAGGCGGCCUGCUGGGCUUUAACUGACGCUGAGGCACGAAAGCAUGGGUAGCAAACAGGAUUAGAUACCCUGGUAGUCAUGCCGUAAACGAUGAUUACUAGGUGUGGGUGGACUGACCCCAUCCGUGCCGGAGUUAACACAAUAAGUAAUCCACCUGGGAAGUACGACCGCAAGGUUGAAACUCAAAGGAAUUGACGGGGGCCCGCACAAGCAGUGGAGUAUGUGGUUUAAUUCGAAGAUACGCGAAGAACCUUACCAGGUCUUGACAUCCGACUAACGAAGUAGAGAUACAUUAGGUGCCCUUCGGGGAAAGUCGAGACAGGUGGUGCAUGGUUGUCGUCAGCUCGUGUCGUGAGAUGUUGGGUUAAGUCCCGCAACGAGCGCAACCCUUACUGUUAGUUGCUACGCAAGAGCACUCUAGCAGGACUGCCGUUGACAAAACGGAGGAAGGUGGGGACGACGUCAAAUCAUCAUGCCCCUUAUGACCUGGGCUACACACGUACUACAAUGGCCGUAAACAGAGGGAAGCAAAGCCGCGAGGUGGAGCCAACCCCCAAAAGCGGUCUCAGUUCAGAUUGCAGGCUGCAACUCGCCUGCAUGAAGUCGGAAUUGCUAGUAAUCGCAGAUCAGAAUGCUGCGGUGAAUACGUUCCCGGGCCUUGCACACACCGCCCGUCA
rnacentral:rRNA from 1 species